rnacentral:ncRNA from 1 species
UGUAAAUUUGAUUCUGGUUUAUGGAGAUUUUUAUUAAAUGGGUUUAAUAUGUAAGUAUUUGCGUGUUUGGGGAUUUAUUUAAAUAAUUUAUCUUUUGAAAUAUCCUUAAUCGCAGUUAUUAUUUUUAUGUAUUUAAUAAUUUAAGACAUGGUUAAUUUUAACUUGACUAGCAAAAAUUGUGCCAGCAGCUGCGGUUAUACAAUUAGUCAUUAUUAUCUUUGUUGAAUUUUAUUAAUUUUUAUUUAUGAUAAUAAUAUUAGUAAUUUUUAAGUGAAAUUUAAAUUUUAUCUAAAAAUUUAGGCAAGUAAAAAUUAUAAGAAAUUCUUUAUUUAAACUAGGAUUAGAUACCCUAUUAUUUUGAAUGUAAAAAAAUUAUUUUAAUAUUAAUAGUUAGGAUCUUUAAAUUGAAAGAAUUUGACGGUAAUUUUAAUCUUUUUAGAGGAACCUGUUCUGUAAUUGAUAAUCCACGAUAAAUUUUACCUUGAUAUAAUUUAUUUAAUGUUUGUAUAUCUCUGUCUGUUGAAUGUUUUAUUAGAAUAUUUUCUUAUAAUUUUAUAGAAUUUUAUGUCAGGUCAAGGUGCAGCUGUGUCAAGGGUUGAAAUGGGUUACAUUUAAGUUUAUCAUUAUUAGAUUAAUGUAUUUAUUUAUAUAUAUGAAAUUGGAUUUAAUUGUAAUGUUUAAUAUAUUUUAUUCAUGAUAUUUGUUCUUGAUUAAGUACAUAUCGCCCGUCACUCUCAUUAUUAAAAUGGGAUAAGUCGUAACAAAGUAGCCCUAUCGGAAGAUGGGACUAGAAUUAU